UACGUAGGUGGCAAGCGUUGUUCGGAUUUACUGGGCGUAAAGGGCGCGUAGGCGGUGCGGUAAGUCACUUGUGAAAUCUCUGAGCUUAACUCAGAACGGCCAAGUGAUACUGCAGUACUAGAGUGCAGAAGGGGCAAUCAGAAUUCUUGGUGUAGCGGUGAAAUGCGUAGAUAUCAAGAGGAAUACCUGAGGUGAAGACGGGUUGCUAGGCUGACACUGACGCUGAGGCGCGAAAGCCAGGGGAGCAAACGGG
rnacentral:rRNA from 1 species